GUGCAAAAGUACAGAAGCCCAGAGGCGACAGCAUAAAACCACUUUUAAAAAAAAAAACAAAAUAUAAAAUACAAAAUAUAAAACACAAAAAUACAAAAUAUAAAACACAAAAAUACAAAAUAUAAAACACAAAAUACAAAAGUAAUUUUAUGCUGUCGCCUCUGGGCUUCUGUACAAAAGGCAGGAAUACAAAUCUUAAACCGCAAGCAAAUUUUAUGGACUUUUUAAAAAAAUAAAAGACCUUUUCGGGAGACGUAAUGGAGAUCGAUGCACGUGCAAAUCAUGCCGACCUACAGAAUCGAUUUCCGGUUUUUCCAAACAGCGCGUUGUUUUCAUGUGCGUUCCAUGGGCCGCGCUAAAAAUAUAAAUAUUCUGUAAAUACCGAAAUAAAAGAUGAAAAUCUCAAGACACAGGCUUGAAAAUAACACUAUAAAUAGUGUUUUCGAUUCUGGUUCCAAUAACAUUAUCACGAAAAAGAUAUGUCCAAAGGGGCCGAAGUUAUGUUCGGCAAAAUGUAUGGCUAGUUUACAUUGUUGUAUUAUGAAAUAUGAUACCAUACUUGUAUUAAAAUUCGCGUCGAACUAAUGUUAUUGUAAAUGAGUAGACUUGCCACAAGUCGACCUCGAACGAAAUGCGUUUCUUCGAGGUCGACUUGUGGCAAGUCUAGCAAAUGAGAACCAUACAAAUGAUACAAUAAUGGUUCUAGUUCUUGUUGGUAUUUUGAACGCACGCUUUAUCUUUAGUAUAGCUACCACAAAGCUUUUCGCGCGGAUUAUAUUUCGUGGAGUACUAAGUAUUAUAUUUUGUGGUUUUCGAGUCAUUACACAAAGAAAAACACAUUAAUUCAACACACAAGAAAGUCCAGAGUAUGACACAACGUAAAAUACAUAGGAAACCGGCACAAUUCUUUGAAAAUUCAACGAAACUGUGUAAAAUAUAGUUUGAUCACUCUGUGAAAAGCCGCCAUUGCAGUUCGGAAUUGUGCGCGUGCGUACAAGUGUAUAUAUAGGCUAAUAAACGAAAAAUGUACCACAAGCAUGGCAUGAGUCGGCUAUUACGUACAUAUAUGCGAGCUUAUUACUAUACUAUCUAAAUCACGGAACCGAGGGAAUCCAUGGGAUUUUGGCUUAAUCGUUGCACCCUGAGCCUGCGAUUAGCUAACGCAAACUCGAUUUCUCGACUACGAAAAAAAAACAGAAAAAGGGGGAUUUAAGACACUUGGCCUUACAGGCCAGUGUAAUUAAACGGCACAUCAACCACGUCAUUUCAAAGCGUAGUGAAGUGAUUCCAAUUGAUCACGGCACUUUUGUAUAUAAAAAGAGCGUGUGAAUUAAACAAGUCACAUAUUAUUAGCACUGAUGAAGAUUGGAUAAGACGCGACUUAAAUAAGAACAGGACUUUUAUAGCUGUUCUUAUUUAAGUCGCGUCUUAAAUAUGAAAUUUUGGACAAAAAUUCUAACUACACAUGCCCGAAACCUGAAACAACGUAAAAUUAUUAGCCUUGCAUAUUAAAACAAAAACAACCGAAACAACAUUAUAGCUAUAGCAAGUAAAUAAGAAUAAAGCCGUAUAAACCAUUUAUGCGAUAACUCCGCUUAUUUAAGUCGCGUCUUAUUUUGUCUCGUAUAAAUGGCCCUAUUUUGGUACCGGGAAUUUUAAAGCGUUGAGUUAUCACGACAGAUAAAGUAUAGAACACAUUAAUCGUCACCGAAAAUGUGCGGUAUACUAAACGGCAGCUGAGUUAAAAUUCCGACUAAAACAUGACUCGGGCGAUGCUAAUAAACAAAUAGCUUACAUGUUUAUUGUAAAAAUUAUGAAAUAUCUGAUUUAUACGAGUUUAUCUUACAAUUCCCCCGACUUCCAAUACAAGGCCGACUUCGGCAGUGGUGACUUCCAGUACAUUUGUCCUCGUGCUUCUUGCAAGCAGAGAGCAUACACGUGACAUGUUGUUAGUAUCGGUAUUGGUAUCGGAAGUCGAACUUAAACUCUCUAUUAACCUAGUUCCACAUCCCUCUAUAUUUAAUUCACUGUAAUUAAUUGGUAUUUGCGUUUUCUGUAAAGCUUUGUUUGUAGCUGUGGCGUAAACUUGAGUAUGCUGGGCUUGGCUUGAGGUUAUUGGAUGGUUAAAUUUAAGCCAGCCAAUUAAAGAGUCAAAAAGAGCAAAUAUUGUUACAUCCUGCAGAGUAUGCAAAUCGGCGAUUUCAAAAUAUUCCAGGAAUUGCAUUUCAUGAAAUUAGCCGAAAGAUGUGUGCUGUUUCAAUUAACAAGUAGAUUUUACAAAUUAUGCAAAAACUUUGGAUUUUGACCAGUAAAUAAGAAAAUAAGCAUUAACACGCAAACGAGGCUUCAGGUCAUGACCUGGAGCCUCGUUUUCGUG